UUUCAAGCGCACGCCAAAGAUUUGCCCAUACGGAGUUGGGAAAACACUGCAAGUCAUUCACAAUCUGAAUGUCCAUCCAUCCAUUUUCUGAUCCACUUGGCCCCACGAGGGUUGCGGGUGGGCUGGGGCCUAUACCAGCUCUUUUCGGGUACACCCUGAACCGGUCGCCAGCCAAUCGCAGGGCACACAAAAAUGGACAACCAUUCGCGCUCACAAUCACACCCGGGGACAAUUUAGUGUGUUCCGGAAACCGGAGUACCCGGAGAUAAGCCACACGGGCACGGGGAGAGCACACAAACUCCACACAGGGAGGAAACCGGAGUACCCGGAGAUAAGCCACACAGGCACGGGGAGAGCAGGCAAACUCCACACAGGGAGGAAACCGGAGUACCCGGAGAUAAGCCACACAGGCACGGGAGAGCACGCAAACUCCACACAGGGAGGAAACCGGAGUACCCGGAGAUAAGCCACACAGGCACGGGAGAGCACGCAAACUCCACACAGGGAGGAAACCGGAGUACCCGGAGAUAAGCCACACAGGCACAGGGAGAGCACGCAAACUCCACACAGGGAGGAAACCGGAGUACCCGGAGAUAAGCCACACAGGCACGGGUAGAGCACGCAAACUCCGCACAGGAAUCGAACACUGCGUCUCUGCGCUGUGAGGCCGAUGUGCUAACCACUCGGCCGUCGUGCCGCCCAUAAUCGGAAUAGUUGACUCUAAAUCCCAUGAUCAAACCAAAAAAUUUUUUAAAAGAUGCUUGCUGCCCAUAAUCUGAACAUUUGACUCGAUGUCCCAUGAUCUGACCAAAAAUGACCAAAAAUCUAUCUCAUGAUUCACCGAUCCACCCAAUUUUGUGUUGGGUGAUCAAACAGCAUGAUUCUCCAACGUACCCCCCAAAAAAAGACAA